rnacentral:rRNA from 1 species
GAUGAACGCUGGCGGCGUGCUUAACACAUGCAAGUCGAACGGAAAGGCCACAGCUUGCUGUGGUACUCGAGUGGCGAACGGGUGAGUAACACGUGGGUGAUCUGCCCUGUACUUCGGGAUAAGCUUGGGAAACUGGGUCUAAUACCGGAUAGGAAUCACAUGUGGGUGUGUGGUUGGAAAGCUUUUGCGGUGUGGGAUGAGCUCGCGGCCUAUCAGCUUGUUGGUGGGGUAAUGGCCUACCAAGGCGUCGACGGGUAGCCGGCCUGAGAGGGUGUACGGCCACAUUGGGACUGAGAUACGGCCCAGACUCCUACGGGAGGCAGCAGUGGGGAAUAUUGCACAAUGGGCGCAAGCCUGAUGCAGCGACGCCGCGUGGGGGAUGACGGCCUUCGGGUUGUAAACUCCUUUCGUCAGGGACGAAGCGAAAGUGACGGUACCUGGAUAAGAAGCACCGGCUAACUACGUG